AAAGAAAGAGGGGGGCAUGCCUAACACAUGCAAGUCGAACGAGACCUUCGGGUUUAGUGGCGCACGGGUGCGUAACGCGUGGGAACAUGCCCUUAGGUACGGAAUAACUCUCCGAAAGGGGGGCUAAUACCGGAUAAUCUCUUCGGAGCAAAGAUUUAUCGCCUUUGGAUUGGCCCGCGUUGGAUUAGCUAGUUGGUAGGGUAAUAGCCUACCAAGGCGACGAUCCAUAGCUGGUCUGAGAGGAUGAUCAGCCACACCGGGACUGAGACACGGCCCAGACUCCUACGGGAGGCAGCAGUGGGGAAUAUUAGACAAUGGGCGAAAGCCUGAUCCAGCAAUGCCGCGUGAGUUAUGAAGGCCUUAGGGUUGUAAAGCUCUUUUACCCGGGAAGAUAAUGACGGUACCGGGAGAAUAAGCUCCGGCUAACUCCGUG
rnacentral:rRNA from 1 species